ACCCCGCUGGCUCAGUUGGUGGAGCAUGUGACUCUUGAUCUCAUGGUCAUGAGUUUGAGCCCCAUGUUGGGUA
rnacentral:tRNA from 1 species